GAGAGGGAUGGGCGUGGCUAAUAUGAAAGCUGCAUCUUUACUAGUUAGCUACCAUGCGUCAUUAUUUAUCAAAAGAUAUAUGCUGCUUAAACACAAAUACGUUUUAAAAUAUAUUUUAGGCAGUAGGGUUUUGGGUUUUUUUUUUGCAAGUUCUUUUGGUGAGUAAAUUUAGUGAUAAAUGAUUUUUUUUUCUUUUGAGACAGUUUGCUCUGUCGCCCAGGAUGGAGUGCAGUGCAGUGGCGCGAUCCUGCAACCUCCGCCUCUCGAGUUCAAGCGAUUCUCCUGCCUCAGCCUCCCGAGUAGCUGGGAUUACAGACGCGCGCCACCCCACCCAGAUGAUCUUUUUAAAUGCAAAAUGCCAUCGACGCAGAAAAUCAAAGAAUCAGCUUAAGUUCCAGAAAAAAGAAAAACCAACCAAAUGAACAAUAAGACAACAACAACAACAACAAAAAAGGCCUUUUGGGAUUUUGGAUGAUAUUGCAUCAAAUCCAUACAUUAACCUGAGAGACGAGCGACUUCUUCAACAUUGAGCCUUCCAAUCAUGAUUUUCAAUUCAUUUAGGUCUUCUGUAAUGUUUCUUAAUAUAAUUGUAUUUGUUGCUAUGCAGAAGUUUCACUGAUCUUUUAUUAUAUCUCUAUAUAUAUUUGAUAUUUCUGACACUAUUGUAAAUAGUAUCUUUUUAAUAUUUCAUUUUCCUUUUUUGUUGCUUAAAUAUAUAUAAAAUAAGCUAAUUUUCCAAACUAAUUUUUAUAUCCAGCAACCCUGCUAAAAUUUCUUAUCCAAUAAAAAUAUAAAUGUAUUUGUGUUUGGGUUUCAAUGCAUUCAAUCAUACCAUUUUCAAAUCGUUGAGUUUUCCUUCAUUUUUUAUUCCCUUUUUUCUUGUGCUACUACAGGUUCAGGACUCUAGAACAACAUUAUAAAAGAGGUGUUAGCAGGCAAAAAUGUCUCAUUUCCAGUUUCAAAAGAAAGGCUUUUCAUGUUUCGCUAUUAUGUAUCAUGUCUGAUACAGAUUUUUUUGUUUUUCAUCUAAAUUUUUAUACCAUUUAUAUGUUCAUAACAACCUCAUGUUUUUAAGGUGUGCAAGAUCUGACCCAGUGUCCCUAUCUUCAUCAUCAAUUAUUAGUGCCUUCUCUCUUUUGUUAAUCAGUCUCACCAGUGUUCUAUCAAUUUUAUUAGGCUUUUCAGAGGACCUGAAUUUUGUACAUAGUUUUUAUUGUAUUUUUUUCUAUUUCAAUUAUUCUAUUUUCUUUAUUAUUUCUUUCUACUUUCUAUUUUGCUGUUCUUUUACUAACUUCUUUACAAAUAUGUACAUUAAAAGCUACAGAUUUCUCCAUCAAUAUUGUUUUAACUGCAUCACACAAGUCUUGAUAUGUAUUAUUACCAUUGAAUUUAAAACAUCAUCUAAUUUUCCUAUCAUUUUUUUGAUGCAUAGAUUUAGAAGUAUGUUUCUUUUUUUUUCUUUUUUCUUUUUUUUUUUUUUGAAAUAGAGUCUCACUCUGUUGCCCAGGCAAGAGUGCAGUGGCUCUAUCACUACUCAUGACAGCGUCAACCUCCCCAGGCUCAGGUGAUUCUCCCACCUCAGCCUCCCAAAUAGCUGGGACUACAAGUGCAGACUACCAUGCUCAGCUAAUUUGUUUUUUGUGUGUUUUUUAUAGAGACAAGGUUUCUCCAUGUUGCUCGGGCUGGUCUCCAACUCCUGGACCCAAGCCAUCUGCCAGCCUCCCAAAGUGUUGGCAUUACAGGUGUGAACCAUGGCACCCAGCCUAGAAGUAGGUUUCUUAUUUCCAAACAUAUGCAAAUAAUGUGAUUAUCCUUUUCUUAUUGAUUUCGAACACAUAUAAAUUGUCACUUUAGAACUCUGUAUGAUUUAAAUCCUUUAAAAUUUAUUGAGGGUUUCUUUUAACUUAUCUUCCAGUCACUCAUUAUCUCUUUAGGUGUCCCUAACCUGCUCUAAAAUUCACCCGUAGUCUUUGUACUUUUAGUUAUUACAUUUUUUAGUUUUAUAAUUCCUAUCUGGUUCUUUUUAAAACCUUGAAUGUCACUUUUUUAUGAUUUCUAGUUCCUGGACAAAAUUUAUAUGCUUGACUUUUUCUUUCAUGAACAUAGUAAGCAUAGUAGUUUUUAGACUUUGUUAUUAAGUCUGUUUCUUUUGUCUAUUGUUUCUCCUGGUGGCUGUCUCAUGCUUACUCUUCCUGCAUCCAUUAAUUUUGAUUGUUUGCAGUUCAUUUAAUUGGAAAAACUGAUUUAAUAUAAACAAUUUGAAGCACUGGAUGAUGUAAUGUUCCUAUAGAGAGGCGCUUCUUUUCCUUCCAUUGGGUGCUAAAGGGUGCCAGUAGUCCUGAAUCAAUGCUUGAGGAUUUCUGAGCCAACCAGAUCAUUCUAGUCCCUCUCCCCACUUUUGGCCUAGGCUUCCCAGGGUUCUAUCCCAGAGUAGGAGGUGUUUCACUAGGGUUACCACCAUCAAGGUAUACUGGAUUCCAACCCUACAUCAAAGUGACUGCCACACGCUCAGCUCUUCCUCUUACUUCCUAUUUUAAGUCACUUGGUUAUAACUAGUACAGUAUAUAGUAAAAUAACAUCUGCAUUCUGAUACUAUUCAUAGUCUUAACAUUUUGCUCAGCAUAUCUCUGUGGCUUUUACCUUGAUUUUGUUCUCAUGAGAGAGUGAGGCAUAAAAAAGAUGGAGAUGUAGUUCCCAGGUAAUGCUGGAACUUGCUCUGGGUACAAAAUUAUUUGUGACUGACUAGCAAAAUAGAAUGUUAGUAAUUUUUAAAAAGAAACUGAACGUAGAUUAAAAUCUCCAGAACUAAAAUGAGAAUUAUUAUAGCAUUCUCUCACCCAUAAUCCACCUAGAUUGGAAUACGUUCUCAAACACUUCUGUACAGUGUUCCAGUUACUUGGGUUCAGGAGAAACAUUUUGACUAACAAUCUUCUUUUUAGUAUACCAGAAUAAAACGUUGAAAGCACCUCACUGAGGUGCUUUCAUUUUAAUUAAAGAAAAAAAUCUACACUAUAUGCUGCAAAUGACUUUAUAUAAAAACUGCUUUGGGAUAUUACCUUCUAUAGUUAUAGCCUUGGUGUCAUUGCAGAUGGGAACAUCUACAUAACUGACUCUAAGUGGGCUACUGACAACUAUAACAUUCUUCUUCAUUAUCUGAAGCCAAUAAUCAGAGUACUUCCCUAGAAUUUCUUCAUAUUUUUUGAAAACAUGGAACAGAAAUGAAUUAUAUUAGCAUUCUAAAAGAAUAUGAGGUCUGCUUAGUUUUGAAAGUUUUCAUUUCUUCUCCUGAAAUCUAUCCAGAGCAACCAAGAAAAUGAAAAUAAAUUCAUAGAAACUGAACUUUCAGCAAAUAGCUAAGAAAACUCCAAAACUCCAAAAUUAAAUGUGAAUGCUGCAAUAGGCAACUGAGGACAGCAAGCCCACAUAGGAAAUCAAGACAAUAUGGGAAAGUACUGGAAGUGGGGAAGGAGUUUAGUGGUGGCUGUACCCUAAAAACAAGGCUGCGACUGAAUAGGCUCCAAACAUUGGGAAGGGAGAGAGAGAAGGACAGAAGCUGCCCAAUCAGAGAUUGCAGACCUUAGAAAGCACCAGUAAAAUAACUUCUAAAAGCAGUAUCAUCAUCUUAGAAGGCAAUAUCUGUGUCCCUGCAGCCUGUGAAUAAAUCAGGAAGCCCAGGACUGUGUGUAGAAGCUCUUUGGAACCAGGUUCAGUUCUGAGAGGCAGAGUAGGUGUUCACAGAGUUUAAGAAAAGAGUCGUCUUCUAUAGCAACAGAAGAGGGAGCCCUCGAGAGAUGAAUUUUAUAAUGCUAUCCUAAUCUUUCUUUUCACCUCCUGUUAGUAGUCCAGGAAAAUUUCACUAAUUUAAAUUCAAAGAUUAUGAAAGUCAUAUGCAGAACAUCUAUUCAAAAUUAUAAUAAAAAAACUGUGAAACGGAGUAGCACGAUUUUCCUGCAGAAGAUGAAAAUUUACCAGAAAAUGGUUGUCAUAAAACAAAUGAAAUUUAUAACUCAACAUUCCAACGUGAAUUUGAAAAACUUAAGGAAGCAAUCACAGGUAUGAAGUAAAAUCAUGAAAAGUAAUAUAUUUGACUCAGCAGGGAGUCAGACAAUAGGUUAUUAAUACCUACUUUUAUAGGAAUAUAUUCAGAGAAUUGAUUAUUUUGGUAUUUUAGAAGUGCGUAGCAAAGAAUUAACCUUACCCAAAAAGAAGUCUGGCCUUUGUCCUUGUAUCCUAGGAGGUGAUCUCUAGGAAGAGUGGCUUUGUUUACCUGGGAGCCUUUAGCUACACUGGAUGGUGUAAGAAUGUGAUUUAUGAUGUGGUCUUUGGGCCAUGAGAUAGCCAGUCUACCUCCAGAGGGGCUGCAGACUAAAAUUUCCUGGACUCUGCUCUAUGCACCAAUUCCCUUGGAAUCAGCAUCCUUUUUUCCCCCUUUUACACACACACACACACACACACACACACACACGCACACACAAAUUUUAAAAAGAUGGAGUCCAUGUUGCCCAGGCUGGUCUUGAACUGCUGGCCUCAAGUGAUCCUCCUGCCUUGGCCUCCCAAAGUGCUGGAAUUACAGAUGUGAGCCACUGUGUCCAGCCAGUAUGCUUUUGUUGUAAUAAACCAUAACUGUGAAUAUAAUAGUUAUCAGUGAGUUCUCUCGGUCCUUCAAGUAAAUUACCAGACUUAAGGGUAGUCCUGGUGUGUCCAGAAUUUAUUCCUUCUGGUGGGUUCUUGGUCUCACUGACUUCAAGAAUGAAGCUGCAGACCCUCGUGGUGAGUGUUACAGUUCUUAAAGAUGGUGUGUCCGGAGUUUGUUCCUUCAGAUGUUCAGAUGUGUCCAGAGUUUCUUCCUUCCGGUGGGCUUGUGGUCUCGCUGACUUAAGGAGUGAAGCCACAGACCUUUGCAGUGAGUGUUACAGCUCUUAAAGGUGGUACGUCCAGAGUUGUUCGUUCCUCCUGGUGGGUUCGUGGUCUCACUGACUUCAGGAAUGAAGCCACAGACACUCGCAGUGAGUGUUACAGCUCAUAAAGGUGGUGUGGACCCAAAGAGUGAGCAGCAGCAAGAUUUAUUGUCAAGAGCGAAAGAACAAAGCUUCCAUGGAAGGGGACCUAAGCAGGUUGCCGCUGCUGGCUCAGGUGGCCAGCUUUUAUUCCCUUAUGUGGCCCUGCCCACGUCCCGCUGAUUGGUGCGUUUUUACAGAGUGCUGAUUGGUGCACUUACAAAACCUUUAGCUAAACACAGACGUUGAUUGGUGUGUUUUUUACAAAGUGCUGAUUGGUGCGUUUACAAACCUUUAGCUAGACACAGAGCGCUGAUUUGUGCAUUUACAACCCUUUAGCUAGGCAGAAAAGUUCUCCAAGUCCCCACCUGACCCAGAAGCCCAGACAGAUUCACCUCUCACUGGGAACCCUGAACUCUUAAGUUGGGGUCAGAAGUGAAGGUGAUCUCUUGUGGAUUGCUCCCCUAACUUUGAAGGAAACUUUUGAAGUUUUGCUACAAAAUAUGUAAUCAGAUUUUAUAAGUAUUGCUUGUUUAUAAGGUAUAUUUUGGGUUUGUACACAACAGACCCCAUUGAGUAGAUAUGUGGACUACUAUUUGUGUGUUUCUGAUAAUUUUUCUUGUAAAACCAAUAAUCCUUGCUACAUUUAUUUUAAUGCCAUGUUAUCUUUAAUAUGGAAGAU
rnacentral:lncRNA from 1 species